ACGAAAUAUUCAGGAUAUAUUUAAAAUGUAUAAUUGAAAGAUCAAACUUUUCCGUAUUCCUAGGAAGAAUCGCGAUAACCGGCGUCUUCACCACGUAGCAAAUUAAUAAUAUACUUUCUCUGUUCUGUUUCAACUGAAUUUCGAAGCCUAAAUACUUGAAAUAUAAGAAAGUUUCCUCGAAAGCAUGACAGGCGGCAUAUUUUUGAUACGCGACUAUAAACGCGUCAACGCGAGCAAAAUUAUUGUUGACAUUUGAGUUACGUAAUUACUUCCGUUAACGAGAUUAACCAAUGGGAAGCUUUUCCGAAGAUUCUUCGGAGAAGAACAAAUUAAUCAUAGGCAUUUGGGCAGGCGUUUAUUUAACGACGCCCUUUCUUCUCCCGCCUGCACUAAACGCCUGCUACGCAGGCUAGUGAUUAGACGAAUAUAUUGAUCCAUAAAGCGGAACAGAAGUAUUAUUUCAACAAGUUCAACUUUUACAGGUUCAAUCAUGCAUUGUAAAUCUGUAAUGACUAAUGGCAACGUUUGUAUAUGUUUAUUACCAUAGAUCGCAUAGCUGGAUUCAAGCAUGUUGCGUCAGGUUAACAUUUAUUAAAGGUC